UUCACCGACUCUCUCUCUCUCACAAUUGCUUCUAGAACUUUCCUCCAUUAGAGCCCUUCGAUAAUCAUUGUGUUUUAGCACCUGUUGCCAUAGAGAAGCUGCUGCUUACUUGGUUGCCCUGAGUGGGAGAAACGCCACGCAACUCUCAUUGUACUAGCUCAGAUAACUGAAGGUAGCUCAAAGGUAUACAAAAAAUAGAGGCCACCAUGUUAUAAAGGCAGAUUACUGCUAACAAGUCUACGAGAUUCAUGGUAUUUUUUCCUACUUAUUGUUGUUGUUUGAAAUGCAGCUUCUCUCUCUCACAAUUGCUUCUAGAAAUUUCCUCCAUUAGAGCCCUUCGAUAAUCAUUGUGUUUUAGCACCUAUUGCCAUAGAGAAGCUGUCUGCUUACUUGGUUGCCCUGAGUGGGAGAAACGCCAUGCAACUCUCAUUAUACUAGCUCAGAUAACUGAAGGUAGCUCAAAGGUACAAAUCUGAUGUCUCAUUUGUGUAUUUAUCAUGAUUAUGUUGCAAUGAUUAUGAGCUAGAAACUUUGGUAUCCUACUUAGAUAGAAUACUCAACAAACUGCUUGUAAUUCUACAGGUAUACAAAAAAUAGAGGCCACCAUGUUAUAAAGGCAGAUUACUGCUAACUAGUCUACGAGAUUCAUGGUUUUAUGUGCCGGAGAGAAUCUUGCUACAAAUGAAACUACAAAAUGCAGCAUGCUCAUUGUUAUUGCCUCAGCAGGAGAUGGAAUUGGAAUCCAUUUUAUCACCCGAGGAAGAUGUUAACAUUUCGACACACGCAAUGUAAUUACUAGUCUUGUGAACUUGUGGAAAUCAAGUUAUUUUGGUGCUCAAUCCACUCCUCUGACUAAACAUUGUUCAUUGUGGAGUGAGAUUUUAUGUUGGGAGUCUUAGGUGUGGAGCAACAUAAAACAUGCAAGCUAUGGCGGAGACAUGUUACUAUGUAUAAAAUGGGUACAACAACACUCUCUUGGUAGAAUCUUGCUUCAAUAUGGAACUGAGAGAGCGAAUAAUUAUGGCUUGUGAGAGUUUGUUGCUCAAAUAUAGCACUGGAAAGUUGCUUCUUGUGAAACUUUUUGUAACGAGUUGUAGCCCCGUUUUUCCCAUUUUUUCUUAUUUAUGUGUUGUUCGGUUGUAUCGAGUU